GAUGAACGCUGGCGGCGUGCCUAAUACAUGCAAGUCGAGCGAACAGACGAGGAGCUUGCUCCUCUGACGUUAGCGGCGGACGGGUGAGUAACACGUGGAUAACCUACCUAUAAGACUGGGAUAACUUCGGGAAACCGGAGCUAAUACCGGAUAAUAUAUUGAACCGCAUGGUUCAAUAGUGAAAGACGGUUUUGCUGUCACUUAUAGAUGGAUCCGCGCCGCAUUAGCUAGUUGGUAAGGUAACGGCUUACCAAGGCAACGAUGCGUAGCCGACCUGAGAGGGUGAUCGGCCACACUGGAACUGAGACACGGUCCAGACUCCUACGGGAGGCAGCAGUAGGGAAUCUUCCGCAAUGGGCGAAAGCCUGACCGAGCAACGCCGCGUGAGUGAUGAAGGUCUUCGGAUCGUAAAACUCUGUUAUUAGGGAAGAACAAAAGUGUAAGUAACUAUGCACGUCUUGACGGUACCUAAUCAGAAAGCCACGGCUAACUACGUG
rnacentral:rRNA from 1 species